UACGUAGGGGGGCGAGCGUUGUCCGGAAUGAUUGGGCGUAAAGGGCGCGUAGGCGGCCCGGUAAGUCUGGAGUGAAAGUCCUGUUUUUAAGAUGGGAAUUGCUUUGGAUACUGUCGGGCUUGAGUGCAGGAGAGGUAAGUGGAAUUCCCAGUGUAGCGGUGAAAUGCGUAGAGAUUGGGAGGAACACCAGUGGCGAAGGCGACUUACUUGACUGUAACUGACGCUGAGGCGCGAAAGUGUGGGGAGCAAACAGGAUUAGAUACCCUGGUAGUCCACACUGUAAACGAUGAAUGCUAGGUGUAGGGGGUAUCGACCCCUUCUGUGCCGCAGUCAACACAAUAAGCAUUCCGCCUGGGGAGUACGGCCGCAAGGUUGAAACUCAAAUGAAUUGACGGGG
rnacentral:rRNA from 1 species